rnacentral:rRNA from 1 species
GACGAACGCUGGCGGCGUGCUUAACACAUGCAAGUCGAGCGGUAAGGCCCUUUCGGGGGGUACACGAGCGGCGAACGGGUGAGUAACACGUGGGUGACCUGCCCUUAGCUCUGGGAUAAGCCUGGGAAACUGGGUCUAAUACCGGAUAUGACUCCAUGACGCAUGUUGUGGGGUGGAAAGCCUUGUGCGGCUAGGGAUGGGCCCGCGGCCUAUCAGCUUGUUGGUGGGGUGAUGGCCUACCAAGGCGACGACGGGUAGCCGGCCUGAGAGGGCGACCGGCCACACUGGGACUGAGACACGGCCCCAGACUCCUACGGGAGGCAGCAGUGGGGAAUCUGCGCAAUGGGCGAAAGCCUGACGCAGCGACGCCGCGUGGGGAUGACGGCCU